GCCUUUGUGGUGUAAUGGUCAGCACACUUGGCACAUAUUUAAGAACUCUGAGUUUCAAAUCCCGGCGAGGGCA
rnacentral:tRNA from 1 species